UCGGGAAUUUUGGGCAAUGGGCGAAAGCCUGACCCAGCAACGCCGCGUGAAGGAUGAAGUAUUUCGGUAUGUAAACUUCGUAAGAAUAGGAAGAAUAAAUGACGGUACUAUUUGUAAGGUCCAGCUAACUACGUGCCAGCAGCCGCGGUAAUACGUAGGGACCAAGCGUUGUUCGGAUUUACUGGGCGUAAAGGGCGCGUAGGCGGUGUGUCAAGUCAGUUGUGAAAUCUCCGAGCUUAACUCGGAACGGUCAACUGAUACUGUCACACUAGAGUACAGAAGGGGCAAUCGGAAUUCUUGGUGUAGCGGUGAAAUGCGUAGAUAUCAAGAGGAACACCUGAGGCGAAGGCGGGUUGCUGGGCUGAUACUGACGCUGAGGCGCGAAAAGCUAGGGUAGCAAACGGGAUUAGAUACCCCAGUAGUCCCUGAGCGGGCUGGCAAGGCGCAU
rnacentral:rRNA from 1 species